rnacentral:rRNA from 1 species
AUUGAACGCUGGCGGCAUGCCUUACACAUGCAAGUCGAACGGUAACGGGCCUUCGGGUGCCGACGAGUGGCGAACGGGUGAGUAAUACAUCGGAACGUGCCCGAUCGUGGGGGAUAACGAGGCGAAAGCUUUGCUAAUACCGCAUACGAUCUACGGAUGAAAGCAGGGGACCGCAAGGCCUUGCGCGGACGGAGCGGCCGAUGGCAGAUUAGGUAGUUGGUGGAAUAAAAGCUUACCAAGCCGACGAUCUGUAGCUGGUCUGAGAGGAUGAUCAGCCACACUGGGACUGAGACACGGCCCAGACUCCUACGGGAGGCAGCAGUGGGGAAUUUUGGACAAUGGGCGCAAGCCUGAUCCAGCCAUGCCGCGUGCAGGAUGAAGGCCUUCGGGUUGUAAACUGCUUUUGUACGGAACGAAAAGCCUUCUUUUAAUACAGGAGGGUCAUGACGGUACCGUAAGAAUAAGCACCGGCUAACUACGUG